GCUCUCAGACAGAGGUCUGUAGCUUUGCGGUGGUGAAAAGACAACACCACAAAUGUGUUCAGGGCGCAGGUCCCCUGGCCGCGCUUUGGUUUGCAGCUCAGGCCCCAGGUCACUCACUUCACAACUGGGUAGCACAGGUGCUUUAGAACAGGUGAACACUGCGUCGAUGCUGGCAGUUGUGCAAUGACUGCUGAAGGAGAUCGCUUAUGGCCUCAGCUCAUGCAGGAAGUACCUGAUCCAAAAAAACAAGCCCAGGAAGAGCAGGAAGCACACCAGGAGUAUCCUCAGAUGGAUCCCAGCCACACCUAAAGGAAACAAAACCUACAUUUAAAAAAAAUAAAAAUAAAAAAAUCCCAGCUCUGGAAGAUGCAGCCUGACCGUGCCCGGGCUGGCCCCGAUGCGCGGGGCAAUGGUGCCCUCUAAUGUCGGCCGGGCCCGGCGGAGCCGCCCGCUGCCCCCCGGAGGUGCCGGGUGCCUGCGUGGGCUGCCUCGGGUGGGCUCUGGCAGGGGAUACAGGUCUUAAAUCCGUCCGGGGUGUGCAGAACUGCCAGGGUACCAAAAUGCAUGGCAGCCGAAGUCACCCGCCUGUAGGUUUCGCAGGUUAUUCCGAGCCCGUUUGACUCCUUGGCAAGACCUCCGGAUGGGAGAAUGCCUUCAGUUCAAGCUGUGAAAAUGAGGUUAAGGUGCACGUUGUCCUGCUCCCCAGGCUGGGUUCCUUCUUGUUUGCCUCUCCCUCCGAUCCCCGUGAUGGGCUGUGAGAUAGCUUACGAUGACGCAGCGAGCUUUACAUUUGCGUUCAGCAUAGUAACUCUCUGAAGACGCAGCGCUGAAGCUUUCUCUAAUCUCGAGAAGCGAUCGUUUUGUAAUCUGCCUCGUGGACUCCUGGCAUUAAUGUGGCUGCAGGCUCUGAACAAGGACCAAGCACAACACAGCCGGUGGUGAACCUGCAAGAGAGCGGGUCUUUGGGCUCCCAGGGGGGCGUCCAUCACGUUCCUUCUGCAGCCAGUCUAACUGUAUGGAGGCUGCCCUGCCUGCAGUAUGGUAUGUGAUUAGAUAGGGCAGGGAGUUAAUUGUAACUGGCAUAGCACUAUAAACACGCUUAUGUCAUGUUGUAAUUGGCUCUUGGUGAAACAGCUUCACAAAGGUGCAGUCAAAGGCAGGCUUUUGCCCCGAUGCUAGCCGGUAUCUUGCUGUCCUCCAGCAGGCAGCUUUGCCAGCAUGAGCAUUACGAUUCUCUUGGUCAUGUCACACAGUAACAUAUUCUGCAUAGAGUCUCCCCAUGUUGUUUAAAGUCAAAGAGAGAAUCUUAUCUCCAACACAAGCAUGGCAUCUGUCCUGGGAAGAGCAUAAGCAAGCCCCGGUUAUUUAUAAAUAAGCAUGUGCCCUGCACAGCAAAGUCUGUGCGUACGGUGACACAUAGCGGCAUUUCAGACCGACGUGGUACAAAUACUUCCAGCAUGAACUGUGUUCUCAAACAUUGUCAUGACUGAGUGAGUCAGAAACAAAUGUUUGCUAACAGUAAAAGCAGCAGAGGAGCUGGAUGCAAAAGACUGAAGGAAAAAAUCCCAACAGCAAAUUUAAUCUAGGUCCUUUCCUCUUGAUGCACCACAAGGACUGAGCCAGUCCAUGGUUUCUGAGGGUGCUUCCAGUGAGGGGGAUGCAGUGGUGGCUUCAUUUGUGCAGAGUUGGAUGGAUUUUUGGCAAAUGAUUUAUUGCUGAGGCUCAGGAGGAGUAUAAUCCUUCAUGCUGUCCUGGCUGUGCUGGGCAGAGAGGAGUGGAAAUGAUUAAAUCCUUCUUGUUUCAUCUUGACUGUAAGGAGGAGAGAGUCUGGGCAGCGUUGCAGAGGAGAUUGGUGUCACUUUGAAGAGGAGUCUCCAGCACCUGGUCAACACAGGAAGGCAGUGGGAAUUUCCUCCUAGCACCCUCCCUUACGGGGAAUUACAGAGAUAAUCCCACUGCUGUCUGCUCAGGCAUUAGGAAAACAAGCUGGCCACUUGUUGCAGCAGCACCUUUUUUCUCUGUUUCAAAUACCUGAGUAUUGGCAAAAUGCUCUGGUCCCAUCACUGCUUUGGCAGGGCUGGUGCUGAACCAGCUUGGAUUGCAAAUUUGCAGGGUUUGCUUCAUUUCUGGGAAAGUCCUAUGAUGGGUCCUAG